GACGAACGCUGGCGGCGUGCCUAAUACAUGCAAGUAGAACGCUGAAGGAGGAGCUUGCUCUUCUGGAUGAGUUGCGAACGGGUGAGUAACGCGUAGGUAACCUGCCUGGUAGUGGGGGAUAACUAUUGGAAACGAUAGCUAAUACCGCAUAAUAACAGUUGUUGCAUGACAACUGUUUGAAAGGUGCAAUUGCAUCACUACCAGAUGGACCUGCGUUGUAUUAGCUAGUUGGUGGGGUAACGGCUCACCAAGGCGACGAUACAUAGCCGACCUGAGAGGGUGAUCGGCCACACUGGGACUGAGACACGACCCAGACUCCUACGGGAGGCAGCAGUAGGGAAUCUUCGGCAAUGGACGAAAGUCUGACCGAGCAACGCCGCGUGAGUGAAGAAGGUUUUCGGAUCGUAAAGCUCUGUUGUAAGAGAAGAACGAGUGUGAGAGUGGAAAGUUCACACUGUGACGGUAUCUUACCAGAAAGGGACGGCUAACUACGUG
rnacentral:rRNA from 1 species